rnacentral:lncRNA from 1 species
GCUCUUGUUACCUCCGCCAAGAGUUGGUGCAGCCUAAAUAUUUCUCCAUACAGCGCCUUAAUCUCCCUCAUGUUUCCUCGCUCAGUUCUCCAUGUCUCUCUAGCCAAUCUCCAAUGGGCGAGGUCAAGGUCAUGGAUAUCCUCCCGCAUGCCUAGUUCAACCUGGGUUCCCUUCUCAUUUAGCCUCUUCUUUUUCCUCUUCUUCUGGAUAGAAUCGGUGUUCUCCUUGUCCUGCCUACACACCUUUGGGGCAGUAGGGAUAUUGAGAAUAGAACAUGGUAUAUUUGAUUUUAGUUUACACUGAUUGGCCAUACAUGAUUAGUCUGGACCACUUUAGUGGGUCGUAGAUUUAGCCUGCAGAUGGGACUUACAUUAAGGCUGGGGAGUUGUGAGGAGUUGUGAGGCUGGUGUGUUCUGGGCCUGUGGAGUUCAGUAGUUCCUGUGCAGAAAUCAUCCUGUGCAGUCCGUUUUGCCCAUGGCUAGAAAUGAAAAUGAUGACAAACAUGCAGUCAGAAAUGAGGUUAUCAUGAUACAAGCUUGUUAUUUUCAAUCUUAGAAAAGCUCAUAGGCCUAUAUGUCAAAGUGAUGAUUUUAAGAGUUUUGGAGUUUUGACUAUGGGGGUGGUGAGAGAAAAGAUAUUCUAACCAUUCUUAUGAUGAGCCUUGGAAAGGAGAACUUUCCCAUAGUUCCUUCAAUUACAGUAAUCCUGAAAAAGAUACAAUAUGUCUUAAAAAUAUGAUAUCAUUUACAUCAUCUAAAUUAAAUUGUGRCACAAAGUAGGCCUUUUCACACUAAAUCACAAGUGGUCACAACUACUUACCACCAAAAUAACCAUCCAAAAUAUAGCAAUGAUUUUGACUCUGAAUUGAACUUGUAAGUGUUGCUGUAAUAUGACAGUAAUGCUAUGGCAAACCUUUUAGGCUGUCAUCAUAUCAGAAUUCAAUCAUUUAUGACAUCACAAUUGUGAUAUAAUGUGGUGCCAUGGGAAGCCACACCCACCCUGACAGACAACAAAUCACCAGAUCCACAUAGGCCUAUUAACCAAUUAAUCCACUUCUAUGUUUGAAAUACAGUAUAUUUAGUACCAGUAAGCUCAUAAACAUYGUAAAAACCACACUGUAGCAAUGUGUAUCACUUCACAGCUACUGUUCAUGAUGCAUCAUGAGUGGGUGUCCUCUGAUAGCCAGGAUGUCUCUAGGGUCUGUGUCUUAAAAUGGCAUCCUAUUAUCUACGUAGUGUACUACAA